GGGGGGGGGCACGCCGGCCGCGAACGCGCGUGGGGGAGGCACUCAGCAAAGUGGCGAGUCGGGGUGGCCGUGUCCUGGGCGCCGCUCCCCCGAACGCGGUCGGGGUCGGGUGCCCUCGCUGGGUAGGGGAGGGUCCCUGGGCGCUCGGAUGCCUGCCGCACGGGCUUGGUGCAGGAUGGUGAGAGGCCGCCGCUGUGCCUUGGGGGUCCGGCCGCGACCCGGAAUUUUAGUAGGGUCAUUGACUUGAAUGGACUACACUCUGCUUCACGUGGAUUCGAAGAAAAUGGAAGGGAUAUUCAGGAAGCAUUUGCCUUCUGUCCUAACCUCCAGCCUUCGUUCACAGAGAUUCUUCUUGGUUUAAUUUCCUUUCUGCUACCAGCCCCCGUUUUAUUGCUUGCAGUGUUUUAAGGUAGAUUCCGGUGUAAGUAAUUUCUGGGAUUCUUUUGGUUGCAAGUAACAGAAAGCCAGCUCAAACUGGCUCUGACAAUGAGGGCGUUGUUGGCUCAGGUGACAGAAGUCAGGCCCGUCUUCCUCCCCCAGCUCCCUUUCCUCCAGGCCAGCUAGAUGCAGCGCACGCUUACAUCCUUCCAGCCCUAGGACUGACAUCCAUUGACCUGCAUGGAGUCACGGGCCAACAUGGAGCUGGGUGGGUGCAGGGCAAGAGCUGUUGCUCGUCUUUAGGGAGUGGAGUGACCAGGACCAGGGGAAUGGUGGGUGGAGGCUGGCCGGAGAAAACAGGGUCUCAUCACUCUGGGAGGGGAAUUAGCUUGGGGAGAAUUCUCCCGGGCUGUCUGCUCCCAUCAGCCACAAGACAGUAGAGAAAGGAGAGGGGCCUCACCAGAAAAUCUUCCAUGGCUCUGAGCCCCGCCCCACCCUCUAGAAGGCCCUGCUCCUGACUGCCCUCCUUCUGCCCAACGGGACGCUCACAUUUGGUAGCACCUGAGGCAGGAGACCCACUCAGCCUGGCCUGCCUGAUUUGGGCUAAUUGCUUUGCAGCCUCACCUCUGGCCUGUACCCUCCAGCUGACAGCUGGGCAGGAGGUGAACAGUUAGGAGGGGAGCCAUCAGUAAGAAGUGUGCUCACAGAGCACCUGGGGCGAGUGAAAAUAAGCGCAUUGAGCCCAAUAGCACUGAGAAACGCGGGGCUGAUGGCAGGUGCAGAGCAGGACUGGCGAGGGGGUCGCACCUGGGCCUGGAGAACCGCAGCGAGAAAGUCCGCCCCCUACCGGGCGGCUUCCCCCAGCCACCAGCCUGCCGAGGUGCCCAGCGCUGGGUGCUCACCCCUUCAGCUGCAAGGAGGUCAGAGCCUCGGGCCAGGAGACCACCAGUGUCCUCUCAGGCCUUUCUUAGGUGGGAGGCCUUUCAGAUGGCAGCAGUGUCUGGGCAGGGCUGAGUACCACAGGUGAGGACCUAGAGCCUGAGCAGUGCCCAGGGCCAGGGGGUGGGCUGGGUGCCAAGGCAGCCCCAGUGCCACUCCUGGGAGUCAGGAGGGCCUGCUUGUCUCGGUACCUUUACCAACCCCACCUCCUUCCCUUCCCCUGGACUCUGAGAGUUCGUCGGGGUGCUGUGGGAUCUAGUGACUUGCCUGGAGGUUGGUGGUCAGUGCCGCGGGGGUUGUUUAGACUUGGGGUCAGGCCCAUCCCUCUCCUAGACCCGUAAGAAGCCAUUGUCAUGAUGGAGAGCCUUUGCUUUUCCCACCUGCUCUGCAGGGACUAGCAAGAGGGCCAGGACCAGCCAGAACACUCAGCCCCCAGCACCCCAAGCCCACUGCUCUCACCCGGACCAGGGUGUUGUUCUUCCUGCACUACUUGGGGUCGGGGAGCGGCUUUCUAUAAAUGAGCAGCUCAUCAGGAAUCACUGAGAAAGCAGAUGGGCUGGAAUCUGCCCGCUGCCGGUUUCCCGUCACUUCUUACUGCCGGUCCUCACCUCCACAGGCCGAGCGACGAGGGAGGUGUGUAGCCAUGGCGACCCACAGCAUCCCACUUCUGAACCUGAGGUCCCCCUGUCCCAUGCACCGGUGAUGGGGCCUCGCGCACACAGGGUGCGGAGCAGGGGUCGGAGACAAGAAUCUGACCACGUGGUGCUGCGGACACUGACCCCGGGUCAGCUGACCCCAGCAUGGGUGGCCCCGGAGAAAAAGGCUAGAAGCAGGGAGAAUCAAAGUGCAUCUCUUCAUCAACUUAUUUUUAGUUGCGUUAUGUAAGUGGUUUCAUUUCAACGUCACGUAGGGAGGGGGGGUCUCAGAUUUAAUUACAGGAUGACAGCCUCUGCUUUUCAAGCAAGCUGUUCUCCUGGCAAGGCAGGCACAAGGAUUUGUGAAUUUCUGCUAAACAGAAGGAGCCCUUUCUGAGGUGACCGCAGAACUUUGAAGGGUUUUCACCACCAUCUCUCUCUCUGACCAGCCCAACCCGGUUUCUGCUGAGCUUGGCCUAAGGGGGUGGCGAUGUGUCUCAGAUCACAGGGAAAUUUCGUGCCUGUCAAGGGAGCUGUUUCUCCACCGCCCCCCUCCUCCUGGCAGCCUCCCCGUCUCUCUAAGAGAAGAAUCCACCCAAUCAGAACUCCUCUUCCUUUUCUCCUUCCUGGAUUAGAGCACUUGUAAUCAGUAACCAGAAAGUUCCAGAGCAGGAGAGAGCGGAGGCAUGGGCACUGUCUCAUCUUCCCCAUCCUCUCUGGCCACUGCUGCCUCUUCCUUCCACGCCAGGUGCUCUGGGCGACCGGCCCGGGCAGGGUCACUGGGCAGAACUGUCCGACUUGUGUCCAGAGUACUGUCUUUUUGGUCCUUGGCCCACAUUCUUCACACUGUCGGCGUUGUCAGCAAGAAGGCAUGGGGGUGCCUGGAGCCAGAAGCUCCGGGGUGGGGGGAGGCCUGUGUCCUGCUGUCAGGAAGGUAACCUCAGCGGCUUCUAGCACACUGUGGCUUUGUCCAGCAUGAGGCAGGGCCAUGUUGCCUGCCACAGGGCGAAGCCUGGCGUCUACCUGGGGCUGCUGCUGACGGCAUGACCACCGACUUGGGGAGCCAGUACCCGGGGCCAGUUGCUGGGACAGCAGCAGUGUGACGGCCAUGGGGGCCUGGGUAGAUUCCAGGUGGGCAAGGUACCUGAGCAGGGUGUUGGGAGAGCCGAGGUGUAGGUGGCAGAAAAAGCACCGAGAACUGUGCCCGGCACAUGGCGAGCCGUCGGUGUGUCUUAGAGAUUGUCAUCGUCAGUGGUUAGACAGGACCUUCCAGAGAGCACCCGAGUGCCCGUGGGAAAGCACGUGAGAAGCUGCCCUUUACAGCGGCUGCUCCAGGAGACCCCCAGCUUCGGUGUGGGCUGCGCGGCGACUUCCAGAGAGCACAGGUGCCAGGAAGACGUUGACAAGCACACCUCAGCCAGGCCAGCCAGGCCACACGUGCAGGGUGAGCCACGGGGACCGUACGUGGCCUUGACGUGCUGAGAAAGGCACUUCGCUGUACUCUUCCUCCCCAAACCUAUCACCCCAGGCUUAUCAUGAGAGGAACAUCACCAAUCCCAGCAGAGGGACAGUCUGCAGAUCCCUGCCCAGCACAUCAUCUGAGCCAGGGAAGCCUGAGACCGUCCUGGCCAAGAGGAGCCCGAGAAGACAUGAUGACUAAAUGUCACCUGGGGUCCGGGACGGGUCCUGAAGCAGUAGAAAGACACGAGAAAAACGUUCUGGUUCCAGAUCUUUCAGAGUUCUCACCUGCUACACCACUGCCGAGAGAACCUGUGGACCUGCUGCCACUGAUGGGUUUUUCCUCUUGGUUUUCAGUCAUCUGGCCCUCUGAAUGCAUGCUGGUGUCAAGUAUUAAAGAUGGUGGGAGCAACGGAUCAGGGGUCAGCUAAUUAGAGCCCAAGGGUCAGAUACCUGUUUUUGUAAAUAAAGUUUUAUUGUAACACAGCCAUGCCCAUUUGUUUACACAGCAUCUCCAUGGAGACAGUAGAGUUCAGUAGUCAGAGACCAUACCUCCUGACAUUUACUAUCUGGCUCUUUAAGGAAAAGUUUGGCAACUCCUCCUCUAGAUGAUGAUGUGUUCCAGCAGGUAAGAAUCAACCUUUUCCUCCAUAAGAAGGCUGACCACCUUAACCCAACCAGGACGGAGCUGCACUUGGGGUGGUUUAUGGUUUUGGUAAGUCCAUCUGCUUCUCCUUCCAGGGGUUGGUCCUCCAGGACAUUAACCAGAAAGCCCGGGGUGAACACCGGCGCCUCCCUUGGUGGGUCUUUGUGUCCUCAGCACUGAAGGAUGGUAGACAACUUUCCAGAGGUUCUCACAUUAGCUCUUUAACUAGCAUCCUCAUAUGUUCCUAAAUUUGUCAAAGUCUUGAAGGAAAGAUCGGCCCCCAAGUCUCCAUUCUUCUCAUGAUUAGAUGCCCCUCAAAUCUCCAGGUCUGUCACUAAACCCAGCAUAAUCCAACGCUUGGCAAGCACUGCCUACAGAUGGUCAGCUCAUCUUUUUGUUGUUCUGCCCCCUGUUCAUUUCCAUUGCUGCUGCAGUUCUCUGAUACAUUUAAAGAGAUGAUUUAUAUAUUUUGUCUAGCUUCUCUAGUUCUUAGCGGGAGCACUGAUCUGCCACACACUGUCCCAUCCUGCUUGGGAAGUCUGUUUCCCGUGUUUAAAUUUUUAAUUUCAGUUUCCAGUUGUUCACUGCUAGGAAACAGAAAUACGUAUUGAAUUUUGCAUAUUUGCAUUCUGUCAUCUUGCUAAAUGUACUGAUUAGUUCUAGUAGAUUUCUUAUAGAUUCCUUUGGGAUUUUGUACAUAUGUAGUCUUGUCAUCCACAAAUAGAAACAGUUUUGUUUCUUCCUUCCCAACAUGUGUGCGUUUUCUUUUUCUUGCUUAUUAUGCUGACUAGGACUUCCAAUGUGAUGUUGAAUAGAAGUGGUAAGAUUAGUCAUCUUUGCCUUGUUCCCAAUCUUAUGGGGAAAGCAUGCAGCCUUUCACCAUGAAGUGUGGUGUUAGCUAUAGGGUUUUUG